UACAGAGGGUGCAAGCGUUAAUCGGAAUUACUGGGCGUAAAGCGCGCGUAGGUGGUUCGUUAAGUUGGAUGUGAAAUCCCCGGGCUCAACCUGGGAACUGCAUUCAAAACUGACGAGCUAGAGUAUGGUAGAGGGUGGUGGAAUUUCCUGUGUAGCGGUGAAAUGCGUAGAUAUAGGAAGGAACACCAGUGGCGAAGGCGAUCACCUGGACUGAUACUGACACUGAGGUGCGAAAGCGUGGGGAGCAAACAGG
rnacentral:rRNA from 1 species